rnacentral:rRNA from 1 species
GCGGUGGAGGCAUGUGGAUUUAAUUCGAAGCAACGCGAAGAACCUUACCAAGUCUUGACAUCCCGAUGACAAGCUAUGUAAUGUAGCCUCUCUUCGGAGCAUCGGUGACAGGUGGUGCAUGGUUGUCGUCAGCUCGUGUCGUGAGAUGUUGGGUUAAGUCCCGCAACGAGCGCAACCCCUGUUCUUAGUAGCCAGCGGUUCGGCCGGGCACUCUAGGGAGACUGCCAGGGAUAACCUGGA